rnacentral:rRNA from 1 species
ACGGGUGAGUAACGCGUGGGUAACCUGCCUUAUACUGGGGGAGUAACAGCCAGAAAUGGCUGCUAAUACCGCAUAAGCGCACAGAACCGCAUGGUCCGUGUGAAAAACUCCGGUGGUAUAAGAUGGACCCGCGUUGGAUUAGCUAGUUGGCAGGGCAGCGGCCUACCAAGGCGACGAUCCAUAGCCGGCCUGAGAGGGUGAACGGCCACAUUGGGACUGAGACACGGCCCAGACUCCUACGGGAGGCAGCAUG